rnacentral:rRNA from 1 species
GACGAACGCUGGCGGCGUGCCUAAUACAUGCAAGUCGAACGCAGUUGCGAACGGGAGAGUAAGGCGUAGGUAACUGCCUGGUAGCGGGGGAUAACUAUUGGAAACGAUAGCUAAUACCGCCUACUACCAGAUGGACCUGCGUUGUAUUAGUUAGUUGGUGGGGUAACGGCUCACCAAGGCAACGGUACAUAGGCGACCUGGGAAGGUGGUCGGCCAAACGUGGACUUGGGAACGGCCCCGACUCCUUCGGGGGGGAACAGUAGGGAAACUUCGGCAAAGGGGGGAAACCUUACCGAGCCACGCCCCGUGAGUGGAGAAGGGUUUCGGAGCGUAAAACUAUGUUGAUAAGGAAGCGGUACUUGACCAGAAAGCAACGGCUAACUACGUGCCAGCCGCCGCGGUAAUUC